rnacentral:rRNA from 1 species
GACAGAGGGUGCAAACGUUGUUCGGAAUUACUGGGCGUAAAGCGCGUGUAGGCGGCUAAGUAAGUCGGGCGUGAAAUCCCACGGCUCAACCGUGGAAGUGCACUCGAAACUGGCGAGCUAGAGUACGAAAGAGGAUCGCGGAAUUCCCGGUGUAGAGGUGAAAUUCGUAGAUAUCGGGAGGAACACCGGUGGCGAAGGCGGCGAUCUGGGUCGAUAUUGACGCUGAGGUGCGAAAGCGUGGGGAGCAAACAGG